AACCAGACUCCUACGGGAGGCAGCAGUGGGGAAUAUUGCACAAUGGGGGAAACCCUGAUGCAGCGACGCCGCGUGAAGGAUGAAGUAUUUCGGUAUGUAAACUUCUAUCAGCAGGGAAGAAAAUGACGGUACCUGACUAAGAAGCCCCGGCUAACUACGUGCCAGCAGCCGCGGUAAUACGUAGGGGGCAAGCGUUAUCCGGAUUUACUGGGUGUAAAGGGAGCGUAGACGGCAUGGCAAGUCUGAUGUGAAAACCCGGGGCUCAACCCCGGGACUGCAUUGGAAACUGUCAGGCUGGAGUGUCGGAGAGGCAAGUGGAAUUCCUAGUGUAGCGGUGAAAUGCGUAGAUAUCGGGAGGAACACCAGUGGCGAAGGCGGUUUACUGGACCACAACUGACGCUGAGACACGAAAGCGUGGGGAGCAAACAGGAUUAGAUACCCCGGUA
rnacentral:rRNA from 1 species